ensembl:lncRNA
AUGCAUUUAAGUCCCAGUCUGUGCUGUCUGUCUUUGUCGGGUCUUAAUGUUAUGUAUGUGUGGAUUACGUUAAAGGCUGUUACUUUGAUCCUCGGUGGUCCCGCCGACACAGUUGUGCCAAUAUACAAUGGAGAUAUAGAUGGCUUCAAUGUAGAGAUGAGGAGGAAUAUCAGUCCUGGACUCCAUCAACAAUGAGACGACAGAGCGGAGAAAAUCUGCAUAAACAACAAAGCACAGCCUCCAGCCAUCAGAAUCCAAUCACAGCCGCUCAGAGGAACAGGAAAUGGACGUCUCUGGAUUGUGUCUCUUCUCGCUGUCUGUCUGCGUAAUGGGAUUAAAAGGCCAGAUCUGAGCGCUGCCAUGCAGUUCUGCUAGAAUAAACACCAGAGCUGCAGGAGCUCCUGCUCUUGAGUUUGGACGAGCCAGACACGUUAAGUUAAAAUUAAAGCAUUAAUCUGCAGUUUUCAUUUCCCCAGCAUCCGUGAAAGCCCACGCUUGCUAGAACAGCACAUCUGCCCUUAAUAGCUGGAAAUCCUUUUCAGUCGCCUGAGUCAUGGAUGCUGGAUUUUCCUCCAUUCCGAGUGUUUGGGAUCCUCGGAAAAAAGGCCAUGAAGAAUAUUUGUGGCAGAUUUUGGUUUCUGUGCCAGAGUUAUUAUAGUUAACUAAAACCAUCAAAAACAUUUGUGCAACUACAGUAUUUUAUCAUUAUAUAUAAUAUAUAUAUAUAUUUUUUUCAGUUGGUUGCAAAAGCAACAUUUCUUAUUUUCAUUUAAUUUAAAGGAAUAGUUCAUACCAAUUUUGGGAUGAAUUGUUACUUUAACUUGAGAUAUUAAAACAACUAAAAACUGAAAAGAUGAUAAUAACUAUACAGACAUUUAGAAACAAACAAACAAAACUAAACAAAAAUAAAAACUAAAAAAACUAUAAAUAUAAAAAUUAAUUCAAAAUAUGAAUAAAAACUGCAAUAACACAAUGUGUGACUCUUUUCUGAAGCUCUAGAGGUGGCUUGUUAAAUAAACUGGGGUCUUUUUCACAGUUUUCUUCAAAAAAAAUGUUGUGGAUGAGAAUCAGCUGAGGUCUCAUUUGUGAUUUUUAUGUUGUGUGUUAUUAACAUGUUAUUAGCCGGCUGGUGUUCAUUCACAAGUUUCUCCUGAGAGCUCUUAAAGUUCACUUUG